GGAAAGAAAAAGAAAAGACAAGAACAGAAUCUUGUUCUGCGUUGGUCUCAAGCAGCUUAAAGCUGUUCUUCAAUACUAUUGGCUCCUGCAAUCCGUACAAUGCAGGACCACUUCCUUUGUCUCUAUCUUCAGUCUUCUUUGCAGAGUACAAAGUGACCGUUGCUUGUUUACUUGCUUGUGUGGGCUUUACGUUUGCAUCCUGAAGGCCCAUUUGAUUGUUGGUGAAACUUGUCUCAGCCUUUGGCAUUUUGUUCACUUCAAGUUUCAUCAUCAAGUCUGCUUGUGUCUCUGUCUCAGAAGCAGAACAAGAUUCUGUUCUUGUCUUUUCUUUUUCUUUCCACACCUCAGUCUUCUUAGCUCCUCUGUCUACAAAGGCAAUAUAGACAAGCUUGACUUGAAUGUGGGAUUGCACGCAGAGAAGAUGAUCAAAGGAUUUGCCAUUAGCGAAACUGCUUUCUUCAUCUUCCUCCUCGUUGCCUCCAGGAGGUUAGAAGCAGACAUGUUUUUCACGACGAACUUCAACGAGAAGACGUAUACUAAAGAAGGGUUAGAGUGGGUUAACGCAACAGAGAGUUUAAAGGAUGUAAUAGACCGAGCUUAACGAACAAGUGGAUGCGAUGUAAGAGCGCUUUCUCGGUCUGAAGCUCAGAUCCUGAUCCAACCAAUUGGCUUCUUUUUUACCUCCGGUCCGCACCAUAAGCCGUUAGAUGUCACGUGGUACAUGUGUGUAUGUGUCACGUGGUUACUUCCUUGGUCUAUCUUUUGGGUGGGGGACUUGGGAUUGUGUAAGAUCGUACGUUUAUGAAUAAAUCAUAUGAGAGUAGAAGAGGUUUAAUCAUUA